GGAGUGAUGUCCGAGUUGGUCUAAGGAGCACGACUGGAAAUCGUGUAGCGGGCGAAAGCUUGCUCGAGGGUUCGAAUCCCUCUCACUCCG
rnacentral:tRNA from 1 species